ACCAGGCACGGUGGUGCAUGCCUGUAUUCCCAGCUACUCGGGAUGCUGAGGCUGGAGGAUCACUUGAGCCCAGGAGUUCUGGACUGUAGUGCACUAUGCCCAUCGGGUGUCCGCACUAAGUUCAGCAUCAAUAUGGUGACCACCCAGGAGCAGGGGACCACCAGGUUGCCUAAGGAGGGGUGAACCGGCCCAGGUCGGAAAUGGAGCAGGUCAAAACUCCCGUGCUGAUCAGUAGUGGGAUCACGCCUGUGAUUAGCCACUGCACUCCAGCCUGGGCAACAAAGUGAGACCUGGUCUCU
rnacentral:SRP_RNA from 1 species